rnacentral:rRNA from 1 species
GUCAGCCGCCGCGGUAACACCGGCGGCCCGAGUGGUGAUCGUGAUUAUUGGGUCUAAAGGGUCCGUAGCCGGUUUGGUCAGUCCUCCGGGAAAUCUGAUAGCUCAACUAUUAGGCUUUCGGGGGAUACUGCCAGACUUGGAACCGGGAGAGGUAAGAGGUACUACAGGGGUAGGAGUGAAAUCUUGUAAUCCCUGUGGGACCACCUGUGGCGAAGGCGUCUUACCAGAACGGGUUCGACGGUGAGGGACGAAAGCUGGGGGCACGAACCGGAUUAGAUACCCGGGUAGUCCCAGCCGUAAACGAUGCUCGCUAGGUGUCAGGCAUGGCGCGACCGUGUCUGGUGCCGCAGGGAAGCCGUGAAGCGAGCCACCUGGGAAGUACGGCCGCAAGGCUGAAACUUAAAGGAAUUGGCGGGGGAGCACAACAACGGGUGGAGCCCUGCGGUUUAAUUGGACUCAACGCCGGACAACUCACCGGGGGCGACAGCAAUAUGUAGGCCAAGCUGAAGACUUUGCCUGAAUCGCUGAGAAGUGGUGCAUGG